rnacentral:rRNA from 1 species
AGUCGCCACGGGAAUACGUAGGUGGCAAGCGUUGUCCGGAAUUAUUGGGCGUAAAGGGCUCGCAGGCGGUUUCUUAAGUCUGAUGUGAAAGCCCCCGGCUCAACCGGGGAGGGUCAUUGGAAACUGGGAAACUUGAGUGCAGAAGAGGAGAGUGGAAUUCCACGUGUAGCGGUGAAAUGCGUAGAGAUGUGGAGGAACACCAGUGGCGAAGGCGACUCUCUGGUCUGUAACUGACGCUGAGGAGCGAAAGCGUGGGGAGCGAACAGGAUUAGAUACCCCGGUAGUCCCUGUCUCUUAUACA